GACGAACGCUGGCGGCGUGCUUAACACAUGCAAGUCGAACGGAAAGGCCCUGCUUUUGUGUGGUGCUCGAGUGGCGAACGGGUGAGUAACAUGUGAGUAACCUUGCCUGGACUUUGGGAUAACUUCAGGCAACUGGUGCUAAUGCCUGAGAGGAGCGCCUGCAGCAUGGUGGGGGUUGGACAGCUUCGGCGGUUGGGGGUGGACUCGCGGCUUACUAGCUGGUUGGGGGGGUAGUUGCUUACCCAGGGAUUGACGGGUAGCCGGCCUGGGAGGGUGACCGGCCACAUGGGGACUGAGAUACGGCGCAGACUCCUACGGGAGGCAGCAGUGGAGAAUAUUGCACAAUGGGCGGAAGCCUGAUGCAGCAACGCCGCGUGCGGGAUGACGGCCUUCGGGUUGUAAACCGCUUUCGCCUGUGACGAAGCGUGAGUGACGGUAAUGGGUAAAGAAGCACCGGCUAACUACGUG
rnacentral:rRNA from 1 species